rnacentral:lncRNA from 1 species
GUAAAGGCAACAGUAGUAUACCGCUGUUCAAACUCAUAAAUCCAUGGACAAAAAACAAAAUCGGGGUAACAAACUAAAACUGAGGGAAACGCAUAAAUAUAAGAGGAGAACAACGACACAACACUACAAUGUAACUAACACACACAGAAACGGACCAAGCAUCAGACAAAAUCCCACGAGAAUAACAAAUAUAACAUCAAAACCAAAUACAUGAAAAGGCAAUAUUAUUUCUUUAUAAUUUUGUUAUUCAUAGUUCGA